UCCCUGGUGGCUCAGACGGUAAAGCAUCUGCCUACAAUGCUGGAGACCUGGGUUCAAUCCCUGGGUUGGGAA
rnacentral:tRNA from 1 species